ACUCCUACGGGAGGCAGCAGUGGGGAAUAUUGCACAAUGGGCGCAAGCCUGAUGCAGCCAUGCCGCGUGUGUGAAGAAGGCCUUCGGGUUGUAAAGCACUUUCAGUAAGGAGGAAAGGUUAGUAGUUAAUACCUGCUAGCUGUGACGUUACUUACAGAAGAAGCACCGGCUAACUCCGUGCCAGCAGCCGCGGUAAUACGGAGGGUGCGAGCGUUAAUCGGAAUUACUGGGCGUAAAGCGUACGCAGGCGGUUUGUUAAGCGAGAUGUGAAAGCCCGC
rnacentral:rRNA from 1 species